GUUCACCGAAACAUGUUUCUGAAAACAAAGCAAGGAAUAGGUCAUGCAGUUGUUGAAUCUGUCUGUUUUAUUUUGAUCGACAAAGGUCAGUUUAAUAGAUUUAUGUCAGAUUUUGAGAUGAGCCGACCGCUUGUCAUUUCCGGUAAGUGUUUUAACAUAAGUGUUCCUUUUGGGACAAUACUAACCAUCAAAAGUAGGCACUACGGCAGUAAGUGGUCAGUGCACAUUAGCAGUGUACUGACGGAAGUAUGCGGAAAGAGACACAGCUACAGUUUCUUUUCUU